AGAAAGAUGGCUGAACGCAAAGCGUAGCAUUAGAACUGCUAUGUAGGUUUCUGUUUACCGAGGGUUCGAAUCCCUCCUUAUUCA
rnacentral:tRNA from 1 species